CCGACCUUAGCUCAGUUGGUUGAGCGGAGGACUGUAGAUCCUUAGGUCGCUGGUUCGAAUCCGGCAGGUCGGA
rnacentral:tRNA from 1 species